AUUGAACGCUGGCGGCAGGCUUAACACAUGCAAGUCGAGCGGGGUGAUGGUGCUUGCACUAUCACUUAGCGGCGGACGGGUGAGUAAUGCUUAGGAAUCUGCCUAUUAGUGGGGGACAACAUCUCGAAAGGGAUGCUAAUACCGCAUACGUCCUACGGGGGAAAGCAGGGGAUCACUUGUGACCUUGCGCUAAUAGAUGAGCCUAAGUCGGAUUAGCUAGUUGGUGGGGUAAAGGCCUACCAAGGCGACGAUCUGUAGCGGGUCUGAGAGGAUGAUCCGCCACACUGGGACUGAGACACGGCCCAGACUCCUACGGGAGGCAGCAGUGGGGAAUAUUGGACAAUGGGGGGAACCCUGAUCCAGCCAUGCCGCGUGUGUGAAGAAGGCCUUAUGGUUGUAAAGCACUUUAAGCGAGGAGGAGGCUCUUUUGGUUAAUACCCAGAAUGAGUGGACGUUACUCCCAGAAUAAGCACCGGCUAACUCUGUGCCAGCAGCCGCGUAA
rnacentral:rRNA from 1 species